rnacentral:rRNA from 1 species
CGGGACGGGUGAGUAAUGUCUGGGAAACUGCCUGAUGGAGGGGGAUAACUACUGGAACGGUAGCUAUACGCAUAACGUCGCAAGACCAAGAGGGGGACCUUCGGGCCUCUUGCCAUCGGAUGUGCCCAGAUGGGAUUAGCUAGUAGGUGGGGUAACGGCUCACCUAGGCGACGAUCCCUAGCUGGUCUGAGAGGAUGACCAGCCACACUGGAACUGAGACACGGUCCAG